rnacentral:lncRNA from 1 species
ACAGACUAAGGUCAGAUGUCUUCCGUGGCUGGACUUGCUGGUCUCUACAUCAUGAAAAACAGCUAAGGUUGCUUCCAGGAUUCUUGGUUCUUCUGUUUUUGCCUUUGGAAUCCACAUCCUUGAACAAGAAACCCUGUGCUUGGUGGUGCCCUCCAAACCCUCCAUGUGUCAACACUGAUGCCUGCCGCUGCAUUCCAGGAUUCAGUUCUGCAUCUGAGGACAGCUUCACCAGCCCCCUGAAGAGUUGCCAUGGUACAGAGCCCUGGGGUGGUGGAAAAGCUCAGACAGAUUUGAGGAGAGGCUGUGGUACAUCUAUAGCAUUCAGCUCUGAGGGCAGCACAGAAGCACUUUGUUGAGAAUAAGAAAGGAGACACUUUAAGAAAGCAC